rnacentral:rRNA from 1 species
UGGGGAAUAUUGGACAAUGGGGGGAACCCUGAUCCAGCCAUGCCGCGUGUGUGAAGAAGGCCUUAUGGUUGUAAAGCACUUUAAGCGAGGAGGAGGCUCUCUUGGUUAAUACCCAAGAUGAGUGGACGUUACUCGCAGAAUAAGCACCGGCUAACUCUGUGCCAGCAGCCGCGGUAAUACAGAGGGUGCGAGCGUUAAUCGGAUUUACUGGGCGUAAAGCGUGCGUAGGCGGCUUGUUAAGUCGGAUGUGAAAUCCCCGAGCUUAACUUGGGAAUUGCAUUCGAUACUGGGAAGCUAGAGUAUGGGAGAGGAUGGUAGAAUUCCAGGUGUAGCGGUGAAAUGCGUAGAGAUCUGGAGGAAUACCGAUGGCGAAGGCAGCCAUCUGGCCUAAUACUGACGCUGAGGUACGAAAGCAUGGGGAGCAAACAGG